UCUUGUGUAGAAUCUUAAAUGGAGCGUCGAUGACCAAGUCCUCCUUAUUAAUCUUUCACACUGAAGAAGUAGAAACAAGACAAAAGUAGAACUGUUUUCUUACCAGAAUUGUGAAAAAGAGGAAUGUUCAUGCUGUAUCACAAUAAGAAAAGAUUCUCACUGCUCAAGUAUGGCCAAACCUGGAUUAAAGUGCCUGGGUAAUUGGGACAUCAGUUGGAUUAGAGAAGUGUAGCUCCUGUACACUAUCAAGACCUGCAAAGUAACACAGCCAAUUGACAGGACAUAAAAAGGAGAUAAAUAAGAUAGAAACCUGGCAGAUUUUGAAAGAAAGCAUAGGAGAAGGAACUGAUUCAAGAUCUCUUUCACUUCUAAAGAAAGGAAGUAAGGCCAAUACUGAAAAGUUCACAAGUUUAAAAUGGAGUUCAGAGGAGAAGAGAGUAUCUUUUACUUGUUUUGUUUCCUUUAGAAUUAAGAGGAAGACAGAAGAAAAUAAAAGGUCCAAGAAAGAAUCGGCGUGGAAAAGAAGGAGAAGUUUGCUAACAUUUCGAACUGUCGCGUGCAGAACUCUUGCAGACGAUUGAAACUGGUUUCGAUGCAAAAUGUAAUUGAUUUAUUUUGAGUUGAGCACUACAGAAUAAAACAGCACCGAAGCCGUUCA
rnacentral:lncRNA from 1 species